UCCGGUUGAUCCUGGCGGAGGUUACUGCUAUCGAGGUUCGACUAAGCCAUGCGAGUCGAAUGUAGCAAUACAUGGCGUACUGCUCAGUAACACGUGGACAACCUACCCUCCGGACGGGGAUAAACCCGGGAAACUGGGUAUAAUACCCGAUAGAUCUCGACUGCUGGAAUGCAUCGAGAUCGAAAGCUCCGGCGCCAGAGGAUGGGCCUGCGGCCUAUCAGGUAGUAGUGGGUGUAGCGUACCUACUAGCCUACGACGGGUACGGGUUGUGAGAGCAAGAGCCCGGAGAUGGAUUCCGAGACACGAAUCCAGGCCCUACGGGGUGCAGCAGGCGCGAAAACUUUACAAUGCCGGCAACGGCGAUAAGGGGACCUCGAGUGCCAGGUUACAAAUCUGGCUGUCGUGAUGCCUAAAAAGCAUUGCAUAGCAAGGGCCGGGCAAGACCGGUGCCAGCCGCCGCGGUAACACCGGCGGCUCGAGUGGUAACCGUUAUUAUUGGGUCUAAAGGGUCUGUAGCCGGCCGGAUAAGUCUCUUGGGAAAUCCAGCAGCUCAACUGUUGGGCUUUCAGGAGAUACUGUCUGGCUCGAGGCCGGGAGAGGUGAGAGGUACUUCAGGGGUAGGGGUGAAAUCUUGUAAUCCUUGAAGGACCACCAGUGGCGAAGGCGUCACACCAGAACGGACCUGACGGCAAGGGAC
rnacentral:rRNA from 1 species